UGUGGUAACAUGACCGAUCCCGGAGAAGCUGGCGGGAGCCCCGGGGAGAGUUCUCUUUUCUUUGUGAAGAGCACCCUGGAAUGGGUUCGCCCCGAGAGAGGGGCCCAAGCCCUGAAAAGCGUUGCGGUUUUGGCGGCGUCCGGUGAGCUCUCCCUGGCCCUUGAAAAUCCGGGGG
rnacentral:ncRNA from 1 species